AUUGAACGCUGGCGGUAUGCUUUACACAUGCAAGUCGAACGGUAGAGGGGCAACCCUUGAGAGUGGCGAACGGGUGAGUAAUACAUCGGAACGUGCCCAGUCGUGGGGGAUAACGUAGCGAAAGCUACGCUAAUACCGCAUACGACCUGAGGGUGAAAGCGGGGGACCUGCACGGGCCUCGCGCGCUUGGAGCGGCCGAUGGCAGAUUAGGUAGCUGGUGAGGGAAAGGCUCACCAAGCCGACGAUCGGUAGCUGGUCUGAGAGGACGACCAGCCACACUGGGACUGAGACACGGCCCAGACUCCUACGGGAGGCAGCAGUGGGGAAUUUUGGACAAUGGGCGCAAGCCUGAUCCAGCCAUACCGCGUGCAGGAAGAAGGCCUUCGGGUUGUAAACUGCUUUUGUCAGGGAAGAAAUCUUCUGGGCUAAUACCCUGGGAGGAUGACGGUACCUGAAGAAUAAGCACCGGCUAACUACGUGCCAGCAGCCGCCGUAAUAC
rnacentral:rRNA from 1 species